GAAUUUAAUUACCAGAACUGAAAAAAACUCAAUAAAAUUGAUGAUUGCUUUGAACUUCAUGUUGAGAUAUGAGUUAUUAAUACUGAUGUUGUACACUUCUACUCUAGGGGGUGAUUCGGAAUGGAGGAAUAGCCGCUCCGAGAGGGAACCGUGUACAAUCAAGAAAAGUAAAACCGGUACGUUACAUCCUACUUUAGAAAGUUUCUUGACCGAACUUGCUUCAGUUUGAAAACCCACUUAUUCAUCUGUAAAUAUUUUUGUUAGUUUUGGUCUAUUUAUAUGAAUGUCCUGAAACUUCUUCUUUGCUUCAAUGACAUUAAUCUUAAUCGUUUAAGUCUUACCGUGCUUGAUUGAACAGAAAAAACAAUAAACAACAUAGAACGAUCCUAUUCCCGUUCACGAUCCCGUCGAGGGAGAGGUUAUCUAGAUCACCCUCAGAUUGUAAAUGUCCAGAAUUACAGGUUUGUUUCUUUCAUAGAUGUUCAUGUAAUAGCCUUCAGAUCCUUUUUUUGUUUCUUAGUGCUUCUUGUUCCGUGGAGCAGUGUCUUUGUAUCAACAUGGAAUGUUGGGGGGAAAUCGCCGUCAAGCAAUAUGAAUCUAGAUGAUUGGCUACAUUCUCAACCUCCUGCAGAUAUUUAUGUACUAGGGUAUACCUUCCAUUCUUGAUUAAUUGUAUACUUUGCACUGACUUUGUUACUCCUUUCACUGACAGAAGUACUUUUUUUUUUGCCUUUUAGAUUCCAAGAAAUAGUUCCUUUGAAUCCUGGUAAUAUUCUUGGUGCUGAAGACAAUGGCCCUGCCAAAAAAUGGUUAGCUCUUAUACAGAGGACGUUAAACAAUGCACCUGGAACUAGUGGAGGGCGUGAGUGUUUUACACCAUCGCCAAUCCCCAAUCCAGUUGUGGAAUGGAAUGCAGAUUUUGAGGGAUCAACCAUGCGGAACACAUCUUCCUUCUUGCAUCGACGAUCGUUUCAAACACCACAAUACUGGAGAAUGGACAAUGACGUUUCAAUAUCACAACCUCACCCAAAUAGUCGACAUAGUGUAUGUGACCGGGUAAUUUUGGGUCAUAGGCCUAGUGAUAUCGAUCCAAAUAUCAGAUGGGGUUACAGGCCAAGUGACUGUUCCACUAUUCCGAGGCCUAGUGACUUUUCCUCUAGUCGUCGGCCCAGUGAUUAUUCCUCUGGUCGUCGACCAAGUGACUAUUCCUCUGGUCGCCGUCCGAGUGACUAUUCCUGGGGUCAGAGACCAAGUGAUUUCUCUAGAUGGGGUUCAGAUGAGGAUUAUAUGCCUGAGGACUCACCUGGAACAGUGUUGAAUUCGCCGAUGUCCUGCAGUGGAUAUGCACCAAAGGAAGAGGGAUACACAUUACCUGGCCAUUCUAGGUACUGUUUAGUUGCGAGUAAGCAAAUGGUUGGUAUAUUUCUUACAGUUUGGGUUCGAAGCGAAUUAAGGGAGCAUGUCCAGAACAUGAAAGUAUCUUGUGUUGGCAGAGGAUUGAUGGGAUACCUGGGAAAUAAGGUAGUUUUCAUACAAAAAGAAUAUUCUUUACGAGUUCCUAUACACAGUUGAAAAUUUAUGACUAAGACGAAGAGCUGUGAUUGAUUUUUACAGGGAUCCAUUUCGAUUAGUAUGUUACUGCAUCAAACAAGCCUUUGCUUUGUGUGCAGUCACUUGACUUCAGGUCAGAAGGAGGGCGAUGAAAUACGUAGAAAUGCUGAUGUAAUGGAGAUCCUUAGGAAAACAAGGUUCCCACGAGUAAAUAGCAUCAGUAAUGAGAAGUCUCCGGAAACAAUCCUCGAACAUGAGUAAGCCCAGCAAAUCAUUAACUUCCAUUUUUGGUAUUAAAUGCAAAUUGUUUCACCAUAUCUGUAUAGUAUUUUUUGUAGUCAACGAUAAUUGCUUGCGAUUUACUGAUAAGUUUAUAUUUUGAUCUAGCCGAAUUAUUUGGCUUGGGGAUCUGAACUAUCGAAUAGCGCUACCAUCCCGGUCUGCUAAAGCACUUGUUGAGAUGCAAAAUUGGAGAGCAUUGUUAGAAAAGGACCAGGUACUUUUAUCUAUGUUCUUUUUGAACUCUUCGGGUUAAUAUUUUUCUGUGAUUGUCAAUAUAAUAGUGAAUAACGUAUUGUUAUUAUCAGCUGCGGAUAGAGCAGAGACGAGGCCGAGUUUUUGAGGGAUGGAGAGAAGGGAAGAUAUAUUUUCCUCCAACUUAUAAAUACUCACACAAUUCAGACAGAUAUGUGGGAGGUGAAAUGCAUCCUAAGGAGAAACGAAGGACACCAGCGUGGUUAGAACUCUCUCUUACUGAUCAAUAUGCCUUAUAUGUUGAUUAUUCAUUAAAUAAGUAAAAAUUGAUCAGGUGUGAUCGAAUUUUGUGGUACGGAGACGGCCUUCAGCAGUUAUCUUAUGUACGCGGGGAGUCUAGGUUCUCAGAUCAUAGACCUGUUUCCAGCAUAUUUUGGGCCGAAGCUGAGUCAGUUCCCAGCCGGUUAAGGAAAAGCACAAGUUGUUCCAGCUCGAGGAUUGAUGUGGAGGAGUUGUUUCCUCCAUACUCGCAUGGUUACACAGAACUAUGCUUCUUUUGAAGUAGUAAAAACGGAUGGUUAAAAAUGAGUACGCGUUCAGUCCUUGAACAUCUAAUAUCAGUGCUUUGAGGGUGUGAAAUUUUACGCACCCAAAGCAAGAUGUGAGAAAAUAUGCAGGCGGGGAAAUGCUCUGGGGAAGCAUAGGGUGAAGAACGAUGGGGACAUCCUUUGCCCAUUAACUGAAAAAUGGUGAAGCCUGAUGCUCUUUUACCUUUUCUUGAUUAUGCUGCAGCUUGUCAUUUUCUUUUCUGAUUUUUUGCCUUCCAUUUUCUGAUCAGAUGUAGAUAUUAGACAUAUACUUACAAAGCAAUCGGGCUCGCUUCUUGCUAUUGACUUUUCCAAUGACAAAUGCCUUCUCUUCUCAAAGAACCAGACGAGAUGAGACGAUCUUCACCAGUCUUACUAGGCGGGCGGGAAAAAAUCUAAUCCGGCUUGCUAACUAAUCUCGUGUUAUUUUAUCUAAUACAAGAUUCUUUAUUUCUUAGGAUAGAGAUUCAUUUCUAUUUGUUUGAACAGGAAGAGAAGUGAGAAUUUGAUAUGCACUCUCUAAUAUUGCCAAUGAUUUCACUGAAAAGUGGUAAUAUUGGGAAGAUAGCUCUCAUGUAUUGUUGUCUGCUUUUUCUUUUGUCUGUAAAGAUUACAAAAGCAUAAAACAGGUUGCAGAGCUUGAUAGAUUCACUUUUCUACUUAUGGUUACUUAUAAUUAAAAUAAGUUUUCCUUUUUAAGCACG
rnacentral:lncRNA from 1 species